rnacentral:rRNA from 1 species
UGUUGUGAAAUGUUGGGUUAAGUCCCGCAACGAGCGCAACCCUUAUCCUUUGUUGCCAGCGGUCCGGCCGGGAACUCAAAGGAGACUGCCAGUGAUAAACUGGAGGAAGGUGGGGAUGACGUCAAGUCAUCAUGGCCCUUACGACCAGGGCUACACACGUGCUACAAUGGCGCAUACAAAGAGAAGCGACCUCGCGAGAGCAAGCGGACCUCAUAAAGUGCGUCGUAGUCCGGAUUGGAGUCUGCAACUCGACUCCAUGAAGUCGGAAUCGCUAGUAAUCGUGGAUCAGAAUGCCACGGUGAAUACGUUCCCGGGCCUUGUACACACCGCCCGUCACACCAUGGGAGUGGGUUGCAAAAGAAGUAGGUAGCUUAACCUUCGGGAGGGCGCUUACCACUUUGUGAUUCAUGACUGGGGUGAAGUCGUAACAAGGUAACCGUAGGGGAACCUGC